GCCACUGUAUGUUGUUACAGGGUGGUUAACCUCGCCAGCGGCCCCCUUUCCCGGGGCAGUCCCUGCUCUCCCCUGCUAGAGGGGCCCCUAAUCCGUCACCCCAUCCGACUUCAGAAUGUAUUCGUUGGGUUUGGCAACUCACCACCAGCAUCCAACCAACUCUAGCGGAUCAACGGCGCAUCAACUUAGUUCCUGGUCAGCAACUGUAUAUCAUCUAAGGCAGCAGCGGCUUGCAUUCCGCAAUUACCGGUCCCGGUCACUGUUGAUGUUUGGAUGAAUCAUCUUGUCUGGUGUACAACCACUUGGUCAACGAUAUCAAGACAAAUUAAACAUGGCGGCGCUGACGGCUCCGGACUUUGGUCAUCCGGAUUAGGAGAUCCUCCUCUUGGCCUGUUGGUGGUGGCGGCAGGAUCAGGGGAUCGGUCUGUUUCAGGAGGAAUGGUUCCCCUGGCAGCCACAACAGCCACCUUUGCAGCAGCUGUGGAGAAAAGUUGCGCAGUUUUUGCCUUGGAUAGAGGUCGCCACGAUUAUAUUGCCCGGGCAACCGGGGGCCAUGACCUGGUGGGGUUGGUGGUGUAUUACACAUUGUCACCUGCUGCUUCGUCAAAAGCCGUUCCCGCACGUCUCUGCAGCCCCUGCAGAGACACCUUUCGAGAGGAUUUGCAUUGGCUCCUUAGCAGCAAGUGUAUAUAUACCAGAUUCAUACAUCACUCCAACCCCGCCGGCGGCCGCACCCGGCCCUAACAGCUAUCCUCAAUGAUGCGCGUAUAGUCCAAACGCGACACAGUUCCUUCGCUUGCAGCCCAGUGCCGUACAGCAUCCCCUGCGGAAUACUGCGGGGCGACUGGCUGCACCGGGGCCGAGCCCUUUUCGACUUCGAAGAAGCCGACUACCCUAGCCUUUGGUAUGUGUGACAUUGCCAGUGGCUUCACCAUGUCAAGAGUUAUCCCUGUCAGCCCGUCGUUUUGUAGCAUAUUGGACACCCUGUCGCUUUGACAAUACUGGCGCGAAUCGGGUCCGACAAGCUGUGGUGUCUACGAUCUAACUGUCUUUUUCAGCAUUCGUUUCCCGAUUAUGCUCUCUUUUACUAAUGCCCUUUACGUUUACAUUAAGCGUUAGUUUUUGGGGUUUGGGGUUCGUCCCCAAUGUGGGAGCUGGAUGGGUAAGAACCCCCAAACAUUUUCACUCUUGUAUAAAAGCUAACAAAACUCAUCACGCUCAUCAAACUCGACGGUGAAAGUGGGCUGGGAACAUAAUUACCCGAUUGCCUCACUUACAGUAAUGAAACAUACAAGUGACUAAUGCAAUAAAGGCUAAGCAUUAAUUUUGAAUGCGGCGUUAAAUAGUUGGCGGGCUGCAACUACGAAGUUAGGGCGUAAUGCGUCGCAGCGCGAAGCUAAUCCACAUGCGUACGGGUCUACGACCUCGUGUAGAACACUUCCAGGUUGGAAUAGCCUUGAUUAUAACCUGUGCUCUGAUGGUAUGUGUUUUAUUUUUUAACCUACCUUGCACCUUGACAUUGCAGAUUUGCGACGAUGGCAUGUGAAAUGGCAUGUACCGACCUUCUGGCUGACUUGGCUCAGGAGUAUGAGAAGUCGCGUGCAUUACUCGAGCAAAUAGAGGAUAGCCUGAAAGAUCGCGCCUCUCAACCGGCGGUUGUCGCGCCCGUCGGAGCUAGCGCCUUGCCCUCCCCCGUAGAGUCUGAAGAGCGCGACAACGACAGUGAGGAGCAGGACGACGGCGAUGAGAAGUAUGAAGCACCAUCUUCUCCAAGAAAAGUCUCACUACCAAACGCGCCUGGUUUAAGAGCAAGAUUGUCCAACUUUUUUUUGCGCAACCGUUCACAGUCCAUGCGCGGCUUAGACACCGGCAACACGGAGGAAGUGACACGGCGCGUAUCCGUUGUUAAUCUCAGCGGACCACCAACGCCUGCGCACGACGAAUCGCGGCGGUCGGUAAUGUUCCACGCACCGGCUUCCAAUGCCGCGUUACAGCCCACGUCCGCGUUGGGCCGUCAACAGCCCCGCGCAUCGCUGGAAAUGCGCCAACAGCUACAGCACGAAAGUCUGGACGGCGGUGAUCCCAGGCCCCUUUCCAUCAGCAACCUCGGCAUGUCCCCUGCGUCGAUGCGCAGGAGAAGUCUGGACCCGUUUGCCGCUAACGGGUGCCGCCGAAUCAGCAUCGACGUAGGCAACACCAGCAACAAAAGUCGUCCAACAUUGCAAACCUGCUUCGGCGGCAGCUCCUCGCCGUCAGCUUGCACCAGCCCAAUGCAGCAGGUCGCCUCCCCUGCCGGCUACGCCACGCCCAUCAACAUUUUCUCUCCUUGGCAGCAACAACAGCAGCAAACUCAACAAUCCGAAGCCUGCCCCACCACAGGCCAGCAGUCGCAACCCGUCCGGGAUGACAGCAUGCGCCGUCGUUCCAUGUCCAGACGCCCCAGCGACCUCGCCACCCCCAGCCCCAGCCUUACACGGCAUACCAGCUUCGGCGCACAGCUCCAGCAUCCCCAAUACCCUCAACUUCAGCACGUCGGCUCGCCCACCCCCACCUCCAACUGCCUCUCCCCUGGCUCCUCCGUCGCCUCCAGCCUGCCUGCCCUCCUCCCGCCUUCGUUCCCCAGCUCCCGAACUCUCCUGCGCAACAGCUCCAGCAACCUGUCCUCCACUGGCGGCGGUGGCGGCGGCGGCAGCGGCGGCGCGCCCAUGCGGCCCAACUCCAUGUCUUCGCUAGUAGCUGCUGGAUUCAUAACGGUCGAGGACCAGAUAUCUCCCGCCGGGCUGCGACUUACUUCCCCAGGCAGCGAGCGCUGCUGCGCCGUCAGCGCUACGGGCAUGGUGUAUGCCGCCGUCAGCUCCGUACCCUCCGGCACCGCCACCGCCGUGAUGGGCGCGUUGCCGUCGUCGCCGUUGUCGUCCAGCACCCCCGCCGCCAGCUCCCCGCAGCUGCAGUUGCCGCUGCUGCCAUCACGCAGCAGCCGGUCAUUGCGCACAUCGCAGGGCCAGGGCCACAGCAGCCUCUCGGGAGCCGUGUCAGCUGCCCCGGAGCCGCGGCGGCUGCAGCCUUGUCGCUUCGCGGCGGACCCCAUGGAUGGCAGAUACCAUAGUGCUGUGGGAGCUCAAGAGCAGCAGCAUGGGCUUCAGCAGUGCGGGGCUAAUGCCGAGGCCAUGUCGGCGGCUGCUUCUCCUUUUGCUGUUGUUACUGCUACUGCUGCUGGAAGCAUAUUCCGAGGCACGAUGAACCUCAUCUGAUGAUGUGGCGAAGGUUGAACCGCUGUGAACGCGAUGUCGCCAGGGGGCGCAGUCCGCGAGUCACUGCCUUUGUUGCUGUUGCUGUUGCUAUUGCUGUUGCUCGCGGGUCGCGGGUCGCGGGUUGUGUGUGAGAUAAUGAGCGAGAGGGGCGCUACGGGUGCUAAGCAGCGCCGGCAAAGCGGUGGCUUAUAUGCUUGUGAUUAUUGGUUGCGUUCCUACGGGGUGAGUGGCGUGUGUCAGUAUCUAUACUGUGCCGGAUACUGGCGUCUGCUUGCUUGGCGUCUGAAGCCUUGUUGGCUCGUUGCUUCCGGCCUUUACUGUUGCACUGAAUUUUGUGGAUUGCGCAUUCAGGACACAGUGUACCGAUGUACCUUCAACCCGGUCGCUUUGAUUUGUUAGACCUGUGUCGAUUUGUUCUUUUCAUUGGUCGGGGAUCGAGCUCGUCCUUAUGGGGGUUGAGGAAAACAGUUUUGGGAAGUAUUCAUGUCGUACCACGUGGAGAAAUAUGCGUUCACAUCCGCGCAUGGUAGAUGUACUGGCGAAACCGAACGCCUACUGGAUAUGCCCAUGCCGGAAUGAUUUUUUAAGCGAGAGAUUGAUUGUUUGGAGGGCUCAGAGUUUAUGAAAAGAGAUUAAGGACGUGGGAAAAGUAAAGAUGUGUUGUCGAAGAGGAAUGUUUGUGCUGUGCAACGCGCUGUGGGGCGCCGGCGAGGUGCAGCAGUGCGGCACUACGGCGACUGGCUGCCCUAGGGGUCUUUGCCGUCGUGCCAUGGCUUCCAUGAACUCCUCCGCCAACAGGAGAAGCAAAUUCAAAAGCAGAACAACAAGGACAGCGAGAAGAACAGCAAUCCAUGUAGAAAGGUCCAAUCCAAUCCGGCCUGUGCACCAACCGUGCGUGCACCCAGCGUGCACAUAACCAUCCAAUCCCAAUGCGGUUUGUUGCUGAAGCAUUUAUAUAAUUGUAUGCUGAGCUGGCACACGGGCUUUUUCUAGGCUGUGGUCUAGGCCCUACGCCGUAUCGAACUGAUGAAGAGCGCGUUCGUAUGAAGUUUGAUUGCGAACCCCGCGACAGUCAGGUCGUUGUGUGGAUGGAGGUUGGGGCUGUUUUCAUGACUGCCUUGGCCCUGGCUGCGGCCAGUCGGUGGUCGUACAGCCGUACGGCUGACCUGAAUGCAUCCAAGACUUUAUGCUUGUGCGCAUAAGCUUGGCACCAGCAGCUUGGGGUGUUCUUCUCCCAAGCAGAAGCUUUUAUUAUUAAUUGGCAUUAAGGGAUUAGUUGUUGGCGGGGAAGAUUGGUUUGCCCAAUCAAUGCGGUUGUACAUUUGACUUCUUUGCUGUGUUGAUAUGUCGUGCAGCGGGAGGUCGCGCUGGGGGACUUCAGGAUGGGGGGAGAGGAAAUCUAUCUCCGGAGACGCCGGGAAUUUCGCUGCUCCAUGCUGUACAUGUUUUCAUGUUUUCAUAAGCUUAACAGAUUUGAAAUUUGGAUAACUGCUCUACCGCUUACUUCCGAAGGAAUGGAGGAAAGAUGUUUUGUGGUAUUUGAUGCCCCAAUGGCCCGAGCUGCAAGGGGGGCAUUAUCGCUGCUUGCGUUGCGCCUAUCUGCGAGGGCUGGAACGUUGGCCUAUGUUUUCCACAUGACCACAAUUGUGUGCAUGUACAUCAGGAGUACGGUGGCGAAGGGGGCCGUGAGGCAACGUGCUUGCUCAUCAUCAUCAUCAUCAUCAUCAUCAUCAUCAUCAUCGGCGACCUCUUCAGCAUGUGGCUGAUAGCUCUGGGCAAGGUGACACAAUUAUCAAGGAGGAAUUUAAUCCAUCAUCGUUAUUAUUAAAACUACCUGAAGUGCAACAUGGUGCCAUUUGUGCGGGCAGGCACCAUGGUACGAAUGAAUAUUAUGUGCGCAGUGCGCCGUACAGGAAACUCAAUAAGAUCCUUUCGUUGUAUCCGUAAUCGACCAUAAUUUACGUUGCAAUCUUGCGGCGUCAUCAGGAGUAAUUUGUGGACUGUCUAAGGCCUUGCUCUGUACUAUUGCAGCAAUCUUGGAUGUCGGAGUAUGAAGUAAGAGUGAGUGCGUACACAUCGCUAUCUGCACGGCGCUAUUGAGCAUUCAAUCUUCCACGGCGUCAUCGAUCGCACGCAGGCAGCUGGCAUCACCCGGGAUUCCUUUGCGGACCAUUUCUAGACUACAUGGUCCAGUUGUGAUGCCCCUUGUCGAGCAAGCUCAACUAUAGGAACAUAUAUACAUACAUAUCGCAUCGGUAAACGUUAUUGCCGGUACAUUUUGUUGUCGUGUGCGUAUGUAUGUAUGCAUGCAUGGCCUGCCAUCGCAUAGAAAGAAACACCCAUUCAGAGCACCGGCCCCCUGGCCGAACUAUGCCAUGCUCUCAAGAGACCGACUCGUCUGAGUGUACGUCAUGAUGCCGUACCUACGCUCUUUAAAUGAGGUUCAUUGCGAGGCAUCUUUUCCGCCAGUAGCAGUACUUAGGGUUUUCUUUUAUUUGUUUUGUCGACAGGCCCAACACUGCAGCCUAGGCGGGCUUGAUGCUUUUAACAUCUGCUCUUCACUUCCUGGCUGCUGCUGCUGCUGCUGAGUUGGCUAGCCUAGCCCCCUAAUCUCGAAGUGAUGGCUGGGGUCCAUUUUGCAGUUUACUUGGCCUCUAGUAGGUGGUAACGUGCGCACACUACCUAGCCGAUGUCUUUCGGUGCGGGGGGCGCUGAAGAAAGGUGUGAUGUCCUUUUGCGAACUGGCUGCUCUUCCUUUGCUCUUUAUCCACGAGAGCAUUUCGGUUGCUCUCCAGACAAAUGCUCUCCUGCUCAAAACCGCGGCUAGCUGUCAGGCUUGCUGGCUGACUAGCGGACUGCCGUCUAUUUGGUGGUUCAGGUAGAAGUGGCUGACUAGCGCGGCCGUCCUGCAAGAGGGCAUUGGCUGUGGAACGAGCUGCGAGGAGCGUCUGGAACGCACUGGAACGAUAUACCCCUUCGUUUGCGCGUGCAUAACUAAUUACCCAACAGCAGUUAUCAGGUUGCGAGCCUAGCAUGCAUGGGGUCUUACUUCUGUAAUUUCCAUGCUAGCUAGAUAUUUCCCGUCUUCAUUAUUAACACUAAUAAUAUUAAUAUGAAUACUCCCCGAUACGUUGCUCGGAUGCCCGCUGGGACGCCCGAGUGCCCCCAUGGCAGAAAGAAGGUAGGUAUUCGGGGUUAUGGUAACUUACACAUCUGCACGUUCUGGCUGAUGAUAUGUGACGCGCCAGGGCCGUUAAAGACGGUAGGUAUCUGACGUCAGAGCAUUCAGCAGGCUGUACAGAUAUUGUUGCGACCCGCCGCUUCUCGCCGGAGGGCCUAUAACCAUUAUCCAGCUAUAUAAACCAGCUUCGAUGGUGGAUGUAUAUACCCGCCGUGCGCGUGCUAUGUACCCUAAUGCAAUGGCUUGGGCGCUAUUUUCUGUGUGCGCGUUGUUAUUUGCGAGUAUCUGGUGUUUCUGAUACGGUCGCGGCCGAGUAGUGGGCUCCCACAGUAAUACCUCUAUCUGGCCAAUUUGAGCUGCCGGCCGAGGCUUACAAGCACCUUCGUGAGUACAUUGGCCCAAAUGUGUUUUGUGAUUGUGACAUAUAAUGGCCGAACAACUUUGUGCCUUAUGUUUGUCUGGAAGGGCCACUGUCAGUUGGCAGUAGGUUUUGAGGAUGAGGAGGCCGGAGUAGGACGAAGGUGCUGUAACUACUAGGCGGUUAUUAAUUGUAACCAUUCGGCGGUUAGCCGUGAUCCGUGCUAAACCGCAGCCGCUGCCGAACAGCAAACAGCAAGCCAGGAAGUGUUGUGCAGACUGCAUCUGCGCCAGCUAAGUUACAUGCAGUAAAAGCAGACCUGAAAAAAAGUAAGCGUCCACGGGUGCAUGUGCUAGUGCAUAUAUUUUGUUCUGCUCACGGCAAUGCACGAGCGCAUGUGUGAUCGCUAGGUAGCCACAAUCAGCUUGGCUGCAGCCUCAGCUUGGCGGCCCAGGCUGCUGUGCUUUGCUGGUGAGCUGAGGAGCAUGGCAUUAUACUACGUGCGAGUGUAUGCACGUAAGGUUUUGUGCGAAUACCAGAAAAACAGUAAAAGUAGGGGCAUGACAGGGGCCAGCGCAAAGAUAAUCACAAUCGCAAGCCCUGAUCCGCGGCGCAGCUGCGUUGCCGGACGGUGUCAGUUUCCACCAGGAGCAAAGGAGUGCGUAGUGCAGACGACUCAUUACGGCAUGGAUCCCUACUACGCAAUAUUGGAUGUGAAUUGCAGGGAAGUGGGGUCAAAUCCAUGACGGAUCGGACCCCAUAAGAUGCUCUUCAAAAAUAAUUCCCGAGCUAUUUCCUAUCCCCAUACACAAAACCAUUCAAUGUCGUUCCCUUAUAGUGUAGCAGCAACAUGGUUAAGACUGGCUAGGAUCUGCGAGCUUUCGUUUCGAAAAGUGGCGUAAAGUACGAGGGAACUAGUUCCAUCCAGGAGCGACCAGCUGGGUAGAAAAAGAGUAACUUUUAUACGCAACUAUAAUAGUACUUUUAUCGGUCUCGAACCCGAUUCACCAACUGCCGACUUCGUCCCUCAGUUAACCGCAUGGAAGAUACUAAAUUGUGUUGAUCAUCAUGCAAGCACGGGCUCAGGGGAACUUGACAUUUGCGACGUGGUUAAGUUGCAAGCAAGCGUCCUAAGCUUCCUUUCUUACGGCAAAUCUAUAAUCGUAUGUGGAUUCUGGCAUACAUGAUUUUACAAAAGCGAGUUGCCAACUGACACGAUUCCGAUUGCCAACAACGGCACGUGAUUCGGACACCAGACUGGAAGACUGGCCCUUGCUUCAGAAUUUAUGAUGACUAUAAAUAUUUAAUAUGCUAAUGAAAAUUCUCUCAUAGUUCUUACUGUCUUGUUUCCUUUGUGCGGUGUAAUGGCAGGCUCCGGUACUAUUGACGACGGCUGCCACUCAACUUGAGGUGUAUUGGUAUUAUGCACAAACAUUUUUGUGAUGUUGUUUCUAGUUUUGCUGUUAGUGUUUGCCUCCUCAAGGCUUUGAAAGAAGUCCCCUAAUGGGCUUGAUUCAUGACACUCAGAACGUUAUAGUGUCUUCAGCCUCAAUGGAAUUCUCAUUCAGCCUAAGGCUUAUUUUCAAAUCAUGAGUUAGCAAACAGGAGGUGUUAAUCGAACUGAUAUUCUGUCGGCCCACAUGGACUCCCCCGUCCCUGCCGUGCUCGCUGAUUUGGCUGAGCUGUAUGAAAGGUCAUCUUUUGUAAUUUCUCAGAUAGAAAACACUCUGAAGGACCGCAUUGGACCGUCGGAGCCAGAAGCUGCUGAGGAGGCCGCACGCGCAGCGAAAGUACAUGCAACCAGCCUGCCAGGGCAAUGGCAUGAGGAAGCGCCUCAGUAUAUUGACAACGUUUCUGGCCCAACUAACCAGCUGACGAAUGCCGGCAAAGAGGUGCAAGCUCCUCGACGCAAGCUGGACGAGGCCGACAAGAGGACAGGGAUUCCCCCUGAUACAAAUAACACCUUUAACUCGACAUGUCGCUUUACGGUCAUUAGCAUGAGUCCGGUGGCCCAGUCGCGGCAUCGCCCGCCGCGCCGCGCCGCUACCUUUUACACCUCAACCUCAAAUGCGCUGCUGCCUACCGCCGCCCUGAAACGUCGACCAACCCUCGAGACAGGGCGCCAGCACCCACAACAGCCUUCACCACCACCAGCGUCACCACUGGCACAGCAACAGCAAGGACUGCCGGUCCUGAGUGCUGCAGGCGCCGCAGGCCGGCCCUCAAGCUGCACCAAUCUCGGCCCUGCUGCAGCUAUCAUGCUCCGGCUGAGUUCUGAGCUGAACAAUGGCCGACCGCUCACCGCCGGCUCCGCAGCCGAGCUGCCAAAUUCACCCAUGCAGGUCUCACUGCCUAAGCUUCAGCAGAUGCAGCCGCAGCGUGCCACACAAAGCCAGCCCCUGCAAAAGUUACAAGUGAACGAGUUGCCUUCACGGCUUCAGCAGGCGCUGCCUGAUAGCUUCUUGAUGGAUGGAAUUGUAGUGGGCUAUCCACCCAAGGACUUACCCAAGCAGCAGCAGCAGCAGUCCAAUGAUGAGUUCUCCGUGUGCCGUAGGGCCGUGGCACGCCGCGGCAGCGAUUACAUCUUUAGCCCUCUGCGCUCUACCAGCUUCACCGCCGGACCGCAGUCGCAGCAGCAGCAACAACAACAGCAACAGCAGCAACAACAACAGCAACAACAGCAGCAGCAGUUAAUUCAACAGCUACGGCAGCUGGGAUUCUAUUCACGUUCCACUGCAGCGCCUGGCUGCACUUCUCCGGCGCCGACUGGAUGCUCAGGCAGCCUGCCUGUAGUCGCUGGCGGCGGCGGCGGUGACGGCAGCUUGCAGUCGGUACGGCGGAGCAGCUCCAACAACCCGCUGGGUCCGCGACCGUCAUCCAGGACCCAGGCACUGCCGUCAUGGGUGACGGACGAGAUGGACUUGUGGCCUGUAUGUGCAUCCAGCAGCAACGCUGCCUCUGCCACCAGCUCCCCUGUCUUCGCGGGCGGCCGGCCGUUCCUUGAGCAGGAGGAAUACGAUGGGGCAAGUGACGAAGCAUUUGCAGCGGGCGCCAUAGCGAUUGCCACUCACUUGGCGGGUCCUAUGGCGGCCGCGCCAUCGGCGGCUGCAGCCACUGCAAGCGGCCCGCUGUUCACCAAAGGCGUCUCAAUUAACGGCUGCCCCCGCUCCGGGGAUAGCAGCGGCGGCCUGCCCCGGGCCAGGGCACGUGCGCUGCCCACACGGACAUUUUCGUCCUCUAUUCUGUUGCCGGCGCCGGGCUCGGCUUCCCAACUGGCAAUGCCGCUGAAGCCCGCUGGCGGGUAUCCGCAACGGCGCUUUGUACCGUUGGCGAGUGUUGGGCAUGAAGCCGACGUGGAGUGACAUGAGGGUGUAAAGCUUAUGGUGUGGAGGUGUAUCGCCGUGAAGCAUAACCGGCGACGGCGCGAGGCGGCCCGCAGUUGGCUCCUCCGUUCUGCUGCGUCUUUUGCUUGAGGCGUUUGUCGCACGGAGGUGGGCGGCAGUGUUUGUGCGUAGCCUGUAGGUGUCUGCCUCUGCGAAAAUUACCAAGGAGUUUCCCUACUCGCUAGGCCCAUUGUUAUGUAUUGGUAAUCCACGCCACAAGCCGCGUUUGGGGGGGGACGGAUGCAUGGCUGGAGGCAUGCUACGUAGCUAGGUAGGGGGCGGCGGCCAGUCCAUAUCGAGGUUACUCAAUAGCCUACUUGAUAGUGGCCCUUUCAAUUCCAGUUAGUGUGCUCCGUAUUGGGAGAGCGAGGUGAUGCUUAUUGCAGCACGCAGCAAGCUGCCCUGGCUGAUGUAUUUGCAGCUGGGAUGUUGUUGGGAAGGGCUUGGAAGGGUACAUGGCCUACAUAAAAAUGCUUAAUUGUUUUACGAGUGGACGAGGUCUAGUAAACGGCUUGACGAAAUGGCUUUUCACCUUUCCUUCAUUUGCACUAGCUGAGUUUAUGGCAUAACAGAUUGCAUCCUGGGUAGGUUGCUAUGCCUUGGGCGAUCAUAAUCAAGGCGGCUUACCAGAGUAUUUACGUUCGCAAACCGGACAAAAAGAAACUUCGCUGUUCCUUGGUUCAGCACCCAUAAUUUGUGGGUACCAUAGGCGCCGCUGAGAUGGCGAUCGUAAGGUAGCUUGAAGGACUUCGUUCGUAUUCGGUCAAGGAAAUUUGAUGGCUGUGCGCCUCAUCUUUACUGUUGAUAGCGACAUGAGAAAUCAGUUGAUCGUGUAGGCAUGCGUGUAUGGACAACUGCAACAGAACUGCCACAGUUAGCUAGCACCACGCCACUGUGGGUGCUGGUGAGGCUUAACACAUGCAUGGAUUCAUGGUCGCAUAUGCAGGAUGUGCACAAAACUGGGAUGAAUGACAAAAUGGCAAGGUUGAUAAACAAGAGAAAGCGCGUAAUUCAUCACGCAUAACCGACGUUGUUCGUUUUCUAGGUAAGCCGGAUGUGCGCAUCUGAUCGUGCUUGGAACUGCAGGCUGGCUUGAGCAUCGGGAGGGGGAAGCAUUCGUCGUACGGAAUGGGAGCAGCUUUUUGCUUUUUAGCCUGCCGCGUUUAGGACCGCUCGCUGUGCAGGAUGAACUUUUGUUAUACGGGGGUUGGAUAUGGAUAAGACGCGUCUGCGGUCGUGGGUGCUUUGCUCAGUGCUCAGCACAUGGGUGCAGAUAUGUACGCAUACGGUUGUUGUGGUGGGACUUACAAAGAUUUCCGAUUAGGUGUAUAGCCGGUUUUUUGGAAAACAAACUCACGAGCAAGCAAAACCUCGCGACAGCGGGUAAAGCGCCUCUAAGCAAUUUCAGGAGGCUUGCAGGACGAGCGAGGGAGGUGUUUUAUAUCUAUUCUGUUUCCCCGAUACCAGAAGGGAUGUGCUUCAUAGCCACGCAUGCGUCUGAAGCGCACCAGCGAGGCCGCAGCGGUCCCCCACGAACGGGACACAUCUUCUACGCCACGGCGUCCGCUGCGCCCUUGCGUUUCUGAUGCCUGCCUAUUCAUGCGUCCCUUUAUGUAUGCUGCCUAUUCAUCAACAUUGCGUUUACGGCCUACCUACUGUAUGCGGCUUACUUAUCUGCCUGCCUGUCGUUACUUAGGUACGACUGUUGUUGCAUUCAGCUACUUUCUGGCAAUUCCUCGGAGGACAGAUUGCUAGUCAUUAAAUAUCAAGACGUAUUUUCGCGCUAGAAAGUUUACAGGGCGUAGCACUUGCUCAAGUUGUCGGCCGACGGGACUUUUUAGGGUUCAAUGUUAGGUAAAGAGCCUUUUUUUGCUGUAUCGCAUCGGUGGUGCGGGGAAGCACGGAAUCACGCUGGGCCUAAUGCAAUCAUCAUUAGCUAACCCCAAAAGGCUAGGGAAGGGGGUUUAGGCCUUGGGGCUCCACAAUCCGCAACGUGGACACGGGCGCACAUGCCCCAAUGUGAUGUGUCGUGCUGUAUUAGUUGUCGUAGGCGAGGUGUGGGGCUUUGAGCGCGGCGAUGCAACGGGCGUCGUAAGGUGCGAGGGAUCUUACUGCGGGAGACGCCGAGCUUGCGGACUUCCCACGCGGGACCCUGUCCGCCUUAACCUGCUCAGUUUCAUCGUCCUAUCUUCCUUAAUCCUAUAUUUGCCGCGAGGCUGGGCUGCACAAUGAAGGCGCCUGCGGUGCUGUAUAUGCAUGCCUGCGUGGACGGAUUGUGUGCUCGCGUGUGUCGUUCAGAGGGCUUUUGUCAGCACCGCGCCUCAAAUUCAAUCCUGUACGUGGUGACUCCGCAGCAGCUGCAGUCUGUGAUUGAGUGGCUUGCUUGCCUGCUUGCUGGAUAUCCAGAAGCGCAAACGCGGGAAAACACAGUUGUUUGUUUAUUAUUGCUACUAGACAUACUAGAUUUUGUGGGACUGCAGGCCACGCAUGUGGUCAAUUUCGCAAUCCAAGUGGAAUACCGUCGUACGCAUACAGCGGCGCGCCUGCGCACUUCUACCUCGCGCGAGCGAGGCGCGUGUAAAGCUCUGACGCGUUUCAGUCGUUGGUGAUACGCUGUUGGCCCCUGCGGCCGCGAACCGCACAGGCCAAAUCUACGGAACCCAAAAGCAUUAUUAAAUUUGGAACCCAAGGGAGUACCGGCUUAGUGUCGCGUCAUAUGCCUGUAGCUUCGAGAGCUAAUUGAAAUGGCAUCGGUUUUGAGAUGAGUUAUAUAGUUACUCAUGGAAUGCCCUGCACAUGAAGAAGUAUAGCUGUUUUAUGAAGAUGAGCCCCCCUUGGUGGGAAAUGACGUGUAUGAUGAAUGGCGUGUAUCAAGCCGACCCAAGUACCGUACGGCAUCUCAGCUACGCGUAUCUGAGAUGCUCAAUAACCAUUGUGGCAUAUGCGCCGUGAGGUUGAAGCGGGACUAUGUUUCCCUGCGGCUUUCGCUUUCCCGAUGAUUUUCCAUCUGUUCAUGUUUUCUUUUCCUUGCUUUCGCCUAGGCAUCGCUACGUGUCCGCACCUCGGGCACCUACACAUGCAACUCAACAGGCGUCCAGAGAUUUGAAGUGUGAAGGGCUGUAACCACAAAAAAUAUGAUGUGUGAAACAGGGGGGUGUAUCUUCGCCCGUGGCAGCUACCCUGUGAAACCCUGCCUUCCCCGGUAUAUCGAGGCACCCUCAUCCAGUCACUCUAGUGAACAUCUCAGAGGAUCGCUCAGUUUCCGCUCCCACAACCAGCAUCCGAUGGAAUCUGCCGGAUCGACCGCGGCCCAACUCCAUUCCUGGUCGGCUCGAAGAUUAACUUUAUCCCAGGUCACCACCGUCCAUCAACAACGGGCGCAAUGCCCUCCACCAUCGGAAGCACCUUUGACCCGAAUGGGUAUCGAUCCCGGGAUCUCCCGGGGGCAAUGGUCGCGCCUUACCAGCAGUGCCAAACCCUUGCAUAUAAAUAUAACAAUAUGUAUGCGAAUGUUGCUACCCGUUCUAUGGUUGGGUGGUUAAGUUGGCCUCCAGGUAAGACAGCGAACACGAAGUUGGAAAUUCACGCAAGCCCUUCCAACGUGAGGCAACAUAGCAUGCAGCUACACGCUAAAAGGGGCAUACCUUGUCUUCCGAAUGCAGCAUAGCUUCGGCCAUCCGCACCGUCGGCAUGGUGCGCCGCGGCGGGUGAACCAGGAAGAUUGCCCGUAUUGUCUAGGCCCACUCAUGAUGUGAUUGUGACAGGUUACCACCCAUAUGCCGACUUGGGCACAGCGCCUGAAGCAGCCCUAGAAGCCCAUGCCUAGUUAUCUCUGCCAUCUUAGUUUUAGCUGGCCGGGCACCAACGGCCCAACACGAAGGCAACCGUCAGUCUCGGGGGACGAUAGCGGCAGACAACAGUUACCCUGGACAGCUGCAUCAUCUGCACAAGGAAUGAAUUCCCAGGUGUUUUAGGUUACAAGUUCCGCACACAAGUGCGGGUGUGUCCGUAAAAGCCGGGGGAGCCAUGGACGUUGUAUUGGUAUUGAUGCGGGUACGCGGGAGGUCAUCAGGUGUCCUAGGCAGGCUCACACAGCAUGACUGCGUCUUUGACAGACGAGGUGCAGUGGAACGGCUGCACAAGUGCUUGUGCGAAAUGGGUUUGAGCCGCGACACUCCGCCAGUGCUCGCCUCAGCUGCCGCUUAAGCAAAAAUCAAGUCUAAUUCCAGUUGUGUAAGCAACUGAAAGAAGCCUCCUAGUUUUUGCUCUGUGAGAUAUCCGUUGGCGAGGUUUACGGGCCUGGUUGAAGCGUAACACUGUGCAACGGUGGCGCCUCUCCGGUCUUGCGUGAGGCUGGAUUCAAGAGAUUAGGGAGGGAUUAUGGCCCCCAGCUGGAGUGUGUCGUUAGCCUAAUGUAAUGGGCGGAAUAGUUAUCCUAGUUUCCGGUUUGAUGCGAUGAGGGGUGAUAUCGUGUAAAUGAGGGCAUACCGUUGUCAAGUUUAUCAGCGGCCUUGACUCAUGAGGGAACUGACGCCAUACAAAUGAUGUCUGCAGCAGAGCAACGUCGGUAGCACAGAUGCUUUACUCGGAACGGUUCUUGCAAACAUCAAAAAAAGACUCCACAGGGUAACUAACUCCGUUGAACUCAGCUACGUGCGGGGCAAGAACCAAGUACAGAAGCUGCGGCCAGGUCUGAAGGCAGAAUACCUCGCUGCGAGGGGCAUCUGGGAAAAUAUCACCUUUCAUGGGAAAUGGAAGAGGUGUUGCGCCGUACAUUUUUUUUAUGAGACGAUUCCAUGCAUCCAUUUUUCUACAUUAACGAACAGCAUUUACCUGUAUGCAUUCCAGGUUGCCUAAUGCAUGCUCCUCGUACUCAAUACGGGAUGCUACUUGCAAGGUUAGCGUUUAGUAACCGACAGGACGGCUAUAACCCUAUGCACAGCUUAUGUCGUCCGUAUUAGCCGUCAAAUCAUAUAACUGAUAAUUCACUUUAGACUAAUGGCAUACCCUGCUAGACCUGCAUUCGGCUCAUCCGUCGGGAGAACUUUUGGCUCUGUGUUUUCAGGCUACCGUGGCGACUACUACAUGUAUCCAGACGAACAUUGGAAGCUCUCCUUGCGCAAAUACCCUUAUCCGAGUGCCGCAAAGUCUCCUGUGCGCCGUUCGCGGAGUGUCUCCCCACGGCGGAAGAACAGCCACAUACAUGAAGCAACAAGGCGUCGUGCAUUAGAAGACAUAUUGACAAAGGUGUCUUGUAUCCUACAAUAGGGCUUCGAAGGAAGGGCUGGACAUCUUCACAUGCAACCGCAUGCGUUCUCACCAACAACACUUCACAAACAAAUGGUUACAUAAAUGCUUUCUGACAAAAAAAUAUGAGUUAUAUUUUUGUUGUUAUAUGAGUCUGCUUUGUCUUUGUUAAUCCGCUGUGCAGAUUGACACAACAAAUGACGACUUACAAGCUCUCGCGCGAAACGUGGCUGCCUGGUCGAGGGAAGCGGCCUUGCUGUCAAGGGACAUAAGAGAAGAGGCGCUGCUUUUGGAACUUGGCCGUCAAGCUGACCGGGUUGCUGCCAGCGAAGCGCAAAACCGCGAGCUCCAAAAAAAAGAGCGCGUGUACAGGUGCGGAACCGGAACCUGUCUGCAACAAUAGUAACUCCUAUAGAAUUAACCUCAGGGGUCUUGCAGUGCCACAACGGCUUUCUCUCGCAGUCCUCCGGGAAGUUUUGUUGUAGCAGCCGGUUUUGUGCACAGGUUGGAAUCAUUGCAUCGAAAUGCUGCCUACAUUAUACCCUGAAGUGGCAAAGAUCAAUCACAGUCCUGUCUUUGUGCAACUCUGCUUCAACUCGCUCGUGUCAAUCGCCCCUUUCCUUCCUAUUUCCGUCCUCCGAAGCUGGCCCAGCAAGCCUUGCUUACAGUAGCACCAAACAAGCAUCCCGCUGGGCUCCCACACAUAUAAACGGCACUUCUGACCAUCCUUUCGUUGUCCCAACCCCAAAUAAACAACCUUGCCAUAGCCGGCAGCCCUGCUCCCUGCCUGCCUGCAUCUUUGCCUGCCUGCACACACGAGAUGCACGCGCACAUGCACUUCUCUUGUCCUGCACCAUCUGCCAGUCCUAAGCAGCCUGGCAUGUACCUGACCUGCCGGGGGCCUCGCCGAUAUCCGCCACCUUGCCACGCCUCCCUCAGGCUAAGCGUUGAGAACAACGAGCUACGCCGGGAGCUGCGACAGCUUGUCCGCAUCUGCAAGCUUCUGUUGGACCGCUCGCAUGCGGAUGGCCACUGGGUAUGGGAGCCCUCCAGCCGCGGUCGCCGGCCCAGCCGCACACCGCUGCUGCCGGAAUCGCACCUGGAGGACAGCUACGACUCUGAGCGCUGGUGCAGCCGCGAUUUCUAUGUCGAUAACUCCAGAGCUAGCUCGCCGGGGGUACGGCACGCCAUGCGACCCGCCAGCACCGGAGGCGCCUGCGGCAGCUCUCGCUCUGCCCGGCCGUGUGAGCCAGCGGCUCCGAAGGCGGCGUCCGGCAGCGGCCGGCGUCGGUUGUCGUACAGCGGCUCGUUUGACUCGGCGAGGAUUGCUGCAGAGUUGGAGGGGCUGACGGAGAUUAACGCGGCGUAUGUGGUGGUGGCGGAUAGGGCCGAAGCGGAUGUGAAGGCCGAUCCGAACCGGCUGGCCUCGCGGCAGGGGACCGGCUCCCCGGCUGGUAGCGCCGCUGUCGCUGCUCGUCCCGCCUCUGCUCCGGGCUCCCCUCGCUCACCCGGUGGCAUCGGGCACACUAAGAAGCAUGCGGCGGAGCAGGCGUCCAAGUUCAAUCAGGAGAUGGAUCGCGAGCGGCGCCAGGUAAAAGGGGCUCUCACCCAGAUGGGGACAGAUCCCUUGGAGGCUUGGACCCGUCCUUGUGGGUGCCGUGGACUCACACUCGUGCGCUCCAUGUGUGUCGCUGUGCGGUACGUUGUAUUGCCUCGAACGUCCGCACAUCUGAGCGGUGCCUUUCUUAACGGAACUCCGCGGCCCGGCUUUCCCGCAUCAACCCCAAGAGGGGUUGCGGAGUCGCGCAGGUCCCCGGCUGCAGGUUUGCAACCUCCACGUAACGUCCCUCAUGUGCUGUGCUGCCGUGAGGACUUCCCAAAGAGCGUGUCAGGGAAAUCAAUUACAAACCAACUCACCCCAUCCCGCAACUCUCCUUCUUGAUAAUUCCUUGAUAUCCAAACCAGAUGGGCGCUGCGCUGGCGGAAGUGGAUGAUGCUCUAGAGGAGUUGAAGCUCGAGGUACAGCGACGCAGCGGCAGCGGUGGUGGCGCCUCUGCCGCUGCCUCUGCCGCUGCCUCUGCCUGUGCCUCAAAAGCGGAGCCGCUUGUCUCUGUGGCCACCUUUGGUACGUUCUUGCAGCAGGAGAAGGCAGCGGGGCCCGCGUCUUCUGGGUCAAGACCGGUAUCACCGGAAACACGGCGGCGGCGGCAGCACGAGGAGGAGGUGCGGCAGCGAAAGGAAAAGGAGCACCAGGCUGAAGUGGAAAAAGUCGAGCGGGAGUUGGCGGAGGCGGAGAGGGAGCUGCAGGAAGCAGUGGUUGAGGAGGCAGCAGCAGCGGCGGCAGCAGAAGCGGCAGCGGCGGCAGCCAAGGCGGCAGCAGCGCAAGCUGCGGCGCAAGCGGCCGCGGCGCAGGCACAGGCCGCGGCAGCAGCGGCGGCCGCAGCGGCGGAGGCGGUGGAGGCAGCUGAGAACAAGAAUGAAGAGCCGGUAGUUGGCACCCGUGCAUGCACGCCCCUUAAGUUCUCAGAGGGUUUUGCAGCGCCAACUCCUGACACGCCACAUCAUCAAGGCUCGCUGUACGGCAACCGCAGCGAAGCGCCAUCGACAGUGAGGCGCGACACUGUACGCACGCAUCGAAGUGGAGGCACAUCGUACAGCCGCCCACUGGCUCGGCUUGAUACGGUGCUGCAAACGGAGGUGGAGAAGCUUAAGCUAAUCAACAAGACGCUCGCUAACACGUUGCACUCGUACAAUCGCGUUACGGACCGCCUGGAGGACAUGUCGGCGUCGGCGUUCACUGGAAUGGGCGUGCCGAGGGUCAUAAACUCCUCGAGAUAUCCUGCCGUCGCCUCCGCCUCCGUGGCACUGGCAGCGCUAUCGCCGUCUCCACCCCGUUCGAAAACACGUUCACCCGUUCGCUAUAACGCUUCCGUGUCAACGACGUACGGCAGGUCAUCGAACUCAUCCGUACCAACUGCUCCGAUGUCCGCGGGCGGGCACCUACGUCCGGAGGAGCUUCAUGUGUCUUGGGCACCGACGACAUUGGUGCGUGGGCGUCCGUACGGCAGCGGCGGCGGAUUACAUUAUGGCGGGGGAGGAAGGGAAGCUCGCUGGAUGGAGUCUAACUUGGAUGAGCAGUUGUACACCAUACGUCGGCAGCUGCAAGCGCUGCGGCACGACAUUGUCAACGAGAGGCUGGCGGCGCUGACGGCGUCCGCUUCGAGUGCCGCCCUUGCGGCCACGUCGCCGGCGGCCCUUCGAAGGAGGACCUGCGGCAGCGGCGGCGGCGUCCGCGCUUUGGAUGACGGGCCGGCGGUGCCGUACCGUGAUGCCGACAGGCUGGCGCGCCUCCAGGAAGAGAUUUCGGCGCUGCGCCGGCAUAUGCGAGACGACCGGCGCUGGUAUAGUAAGGAUGCUGAAUCGAUGGUUUCGGAGCGCACGGCCAAAUUCCGCGACUUGCAGCGCCGAAUUGAGCGCCUUACGACAUCGGCAAUCUGAGCAUCUAAACCUUGCGUCUGUCCAAGGCAUUGUGCAUGUCCCAACUUCCGUCUAUACCUGGGGCAUCAGCCUGAGUGUCUAUUCUUGGGGGGGAUAUUCAAGGCCCCAGUCGACCUCUUGUGUGGUCGCGGAGCUCAUCAUACGUCCCUUACCUAGCUGAAGGGAAGCUUGGAAGGGGCGUGGGGGGUUGUAUUUGUUACACGACGCGCCGCGCAACGUUUGUACAGGGGCGCCCCUGGGCUGCGUGGUCGUCUCUGCGGCCGUGAGUUGCGUCAGUUGCGACACGUUUGCCUUACACUCUUCUGUCUUGUUGGAGGGAGACCACGGUGAAGUGCCCACCUAUGGAUUGCGCUUCUCCCUAAGUUUAACACUUCUUUCUACUGGCUGCCGAAAGCGCGUGAAUGUAUGUAAGUGUCUCUCCUUUUUUCUGUCGCAUCCCGCACCCAACAAAUGUGCCAUCGGCAUCGGCGUCGUAACUGUCUUGGCAUCUUUGCGUGUGCCUGGUCCUGCUGCGAGCAGUUCGUCCCCAAGGGAUUGAAACUGGACACUCGAAUUGCUGAUGUACUAAUAUUGCCGAUACAUAUAUAGUCCGGGUGUCGGAGUCCUGGUUUCUUCAUAAUAAUGCCUUCUCGAUAAUAUUGCCUUUGCAAUGGCCAGGUCUGACGCAUGCGUGCGGUGGCCGCCUAUCAUCUGAUAUCCCUGAAGACUGGUGUCGUUCCCGCACGAAUGCUUACCUAUGGCGGCAUGACCUAGAUGAUUUCUUCAUUCAUACUCCCAUGAGGGUUUGCUUGAACAGAGGGUGUGGGUUGCAUGAAUCAAUCUCAUGAUUCUGGCGAUGAGAGCUUUUGCGUGUUGAUUAUGUUUUUAUGCCCUUAUGAUGGGGCGGUGCAAUCCGUGUUGGCUGGAAACCCAGGCAAGGUGCCAACGAGGUGGUGCACCGCGCGUGGAGCGAACGAAUGAGUGUGUGUGAACUGCGGCUCCAAGUGUGGCAUGCCCCUGAGUGCUUUGCAAGACGCUAGCGAUGUUACGCACCACGCGGAAGAUCGCUGGCAUUAAUACGUAAAUACGCAAAUUACGAACCAUGGCCUAAUUGUGUAAUCUGCAUUUGUCGUAGCUCUCCCGCCGUUGUGGCAGCUUCAGAUUAAUGGGUCAGUCUGUUUCACGUUGGCGCCGCUCUUCCGAUCGGCCUGCAUCACCAUCAAUGUCGCGUUCAUCAGGAAGAGUCACGCCGCGGACCGGCUUUACCCUACUUGUCCUGAACCUCAUCUGGCAGCGUUAGGCGAGUAUGCCUAGGUCGGCUGGGUUGAAUACCCCUGCGCACAGUAUGUAACACCUGAGCCGGUCGUGUGUAAACAUUCAAUUCUGUACCAACCCGCAGCAGCUUCCUUGCCAAGUGAACCAUGGGCCUCUAAAGCGGCCAGAGUGCACGGAGGCGCUUUAUAUGAAUCAUGCUUAUUGUUUAUUGCUACAAGCUUCAAGGAAAUGUACGCAUAUGGCAAUAACAACGUUGCCACCUGUUGUCGUACCAACUCCUUCCUCAGCUUCUGACAUUGCCUAGCAAAGCUUUUUCAUAACACAACUUUUUCUCCGAAAUCCUUCCUUACACGGCAGGCCCAACGGUUAUAUUCUUUGGAGGGAACAGUCGGCAAUUGAGCUUAAGACUCUUCGCAUUUCUCCUGCGGCGUAACUUUGUGUUACAUUACUCCUUUUCAUUAUCGAAAACGUUGGUGCCCUCUGCUGAGCUUAGUAGCCUUUCAGCUUUAGCAAAGUCCUUGUAGACUAGGUUGCAGGGAAUCGUAAAAGAAGGCUAAGAUGGCUUUCAAGACAGGAGACGAGUAAGUUGAAGUUCUGGGACACGUUAGUUCACACUUGCGACGAAACCAACAACCUGUCACCGUCGUUGCCCGGUGGCAGAUGGCGUCGUCAGAAGGAGCUUGAGGAGGCUCGUAAGGCUGGUCUGGCGCCGGCCGAGGUCGACGAGAAUGGCAAGGAAAUUAACCCCCACAUCCCUCAGUAUAUGACGACGGCGCCGUGGUACCUGAACUCCGACAAACCCACCCUGAAGCAUCAGCGGAACUGGAAUGAUAAGGGGAAGGAUGGGACGCAGUGGUACGAUCGUGGUGCCAAGAUUUUUCAAGCAACGAAGUUUCGAAAGGGAGCUUGCGAAAAGUGAGUAUAUGGGUCACGGUGGCGCGUGGUCCGUUGAACCCAGGGGUGAACGUCGUCGUGCGCAGCUGGAACCCAUCUAUACACGCAGCUUUCAGGCCACGUGGCAUAUCGCUCUUAAAAUCAUGCUCCGACCUCGCCAUGCCUCCCUACUCUGCCCAUCCUUACCUCUCCGCCACGAAUCCCCUUAUCCUAUGUUGCAGCUGUGGAGCUAUGACGCACAAAACCAAGGACUGCCUGGAACGGCCGCGUAGCAAGGGAGCAAAGUGGACCAAUAAAAACAUUGCUCCGGACGAAAAGGUGGAGGACAUCAAAUUGACGGGCUUUGAGAGCAAGCGGGACCGGUGGAACGGCUACGACUCUAAGGAAUACGCCCGGAUAGUGGACCGCUUUGAGCAGCUGGAGGAGCUGCGCAAGGAGAUAAAGAAAAAAGAGCAGGUAAGGGUAUCCGUAGAUCGGCGCAGGCAUAUGAGUGUGUUGCUUGCUUGAAGGGGAACAGCGCCCAGGUCCGUAGAAAGCGUUAUGCAAGUUCCAACCCCGAACCAAUGCCGGGGGGUUUCGAAAAAUCCGGGGGGCCGCCAUGGACGGCGGCAGGCGUAUGCCAGUGAGGCCUGAGGGCUGUUAUGGCGGUGCACCGUGCUUUACAAACCGUCUCUGGUAUGCACAUACGCAGGUUGAUACUUAGAAAUUCUCAUCUCAGUUUGCGGCCAGGGCAAGAGUAGGAUGUUGGGGGUAAUGCAGGCCAGAGUUGCCAGGGGGGCUGAUUGUGUCCUUGCGGGCUUAUGUGAAGGUGCCUCACUUGAGGUUGAAAGCAAGGGCCCAGCAAGUUCUCUUGAGCUUGUGCGGGAAGCCGCAACUCGCAUCACCUCAAGAAUUUGUACGGCAUUUCUGCCGUACAAACUGAUGUGUCCUGAGAGGCCAACCAAAUAAUUCACAGGUGUGGAUUUUGAUAGAAUCACAGGCUAUGUGAUUGUCGGUCAUAUACAAGCGCUUCCAAUUUUGGAUAUCCCGUUACAGCUGGACGAAAUCCGCAAGAAGGGCGAGGCUGUAGAAGCAGCUGGGGACGCGGAGCCUGGGGCGGACGGUGCCAUUGAUGAGGAUGAAACCAAGAUUAAGGAGGAGGAGGAGGCAGGUGAGUCGCGAUGACUCUUUGCAGCGGGGCCGGAGACUCCAUUGCGGGAUGGCGUGGUUUGUACGGCUGGGUAGCCCUUUGUGAUGCUGGGCAGCAUGCUUCCCUUGCUAGCGAAAACCGAGGAAAUAUUGAGAAAAACCCGGAUGCGAAAUUUACAUGAGGCCAGGGCCAUAUGACAUAUACAGGGGCCAUAUGACUCUAAUAUCGUUGCCUACCUGGAUUGAUGCUUGCAUGGUGUCAUCAAAGAAAGGAUACUACGUCUUGCUGCAUUGUCACUGGGUCGGCGGGAGCAGUGCUGAUCCAUAAUGACUGUUUGAGGGGAACGAGCCAUCUAGCUUGGGUGAGGGAAUAUUGGCCCCAGGUGGUUUGAAUGUUACUGUUUUUACAUUGACCAACAGCGCCCAGGAGUAUGACGGUACUGCCAUGGCAUUUUGACGCAGGUCAAAGCCUACCAUAUUGCCCCAGAUCGCUAUCAUAAAAGUGGUUUGCACAAAAGCCAAUAACGGCCAUGGCAUGCUAUAAUUACGUUGUAUUGCCUACCUAUAGCCAUUUAUUGCGCAAACUAGCGCCAUGUUCCCGGCCGCUGCAAUUUGACGGCGUGCAGUCUGUCUGCUGAUGGGGAUUGGGGGCUUCCAGGUUAUUGGGUAAAGCUUGGCCGGGAAAAUGAAGCGUCUUUGGCCCUCGUAUUACCUAACAGGCUUCGGUGAGGUGAAGAAGCGCGUGCGCACCACCGCUGGUGGUUCCACGGGCUCGGUGCGCAACCUGCGCAUUCGUGAGGAUAUUGCCAAGUACCUGCUCAACUUGGAUGUCAAUUCGGCGUACUAUGACCCCAAGUCUAGGUAUGUCAGUGCCGCAAAAACCACGGCAUCUGCAAGCGAUGUAUCGGCGUACAUGGAGGAUGCUUACGUGGUUGGAAGAUUUCGUAGCACCAAUUAUCUUGCCGGCACGUCAGUAACCAGCGCGUUUUCAUAAAGCGGCUACCCAUGCAUUUCCAACAUCUUCGACCCGUGACUAUGCGGCACUACAGCAGCACGCUGUCCUGUCCAACCACCCACCCAACCACCAACCACCCGACGUACUGGAAUUCGACUGAAGACUUGCUUUUUUGCGAACAUGGAGCAGAACGAGAGUCGGUUUAGCCUUGAGCGCAGCUACCCGGCGUCUUGCAGGUACAUGUCUAACCGGUUAGCCCCUUCUUAUCCAUCCGCUGGCUUGUGCUUCCGCCAGGUCCAUGCGCGAGGAUCCGCAGCCAGACAAGCCAGCUAGCGAGAAGCUCUUUCACGGCGAUAACUUUGUGCGCAACGGCGGCGAGUACUCCGCCUGGCAGAGCCUCACGCUGCACUCUAUCACGGCGCACGAAAAAGGGCUGGACGUUCACAUGCAAGCGAACCCGUCGCUUGCGGAGAUGCUGUACAAGCAGUUCAAGGAGAAGAAAGACCAGCUUGAGGUGGGCGUAGGAUGACGUAGCUCGUUGCAGUGGCGUUUGUUGGGCUGUUUGUUGGGCUUUGUUCAGCCGAUGGGGGAGGAGUGAAGCCGGGGACAGCAGUCUCGGUCGGGGAUCAGGAUAAUGCUGCGCACUUGGAUUGUUUGAAGCUGGCCGGAGACGGACAAACCGGUCGUUAUCCAGUAGUGCAGCAAACCUCGCGAGCAAUUGUAGUAGAUGUCGUACACGUCACACACCGCGUCACACCCACGUCUAAAAUUUCGCGCUAAAGCGCUCUGCCAGCAUCUUGAGAGGCCUUUCCAGCGGGCAGCUACUACAGCAAGCUCCUCGCCUACGUAGUGAGUGGCGGUCGCUGAGCGGUUAUGUGAUGUGGUGUCCGUUGUGCGGCGAAACAGCAUGCGCUCUCGCCGCUGUUGGACUAGGAGCGCCUCAUCAUAACGCAUGUUUUGCAUAUGCGACGGACUGACUGUCCGUGCUAAGUAUACAACAGAAAUGCAAACAGUACUAUGGCAAACGGUACUCAGCACGGCCCGUGUGCUGCUGUCAUAUGUCAUGGUGGCGAAUGGAGCUGUGUAGCAAGUACUCAUAUCUGCACGUCAUUACGUAUUGCCGUUCCCGUUUGUACGCUUUGCGGACCCGUAGAACAAGAGCAAGGAGGACGUCGUCAAGAAGUACGGCAGCGCGGCAGAGCCGCUGCCGGAGGAAGUGAAGGUGCUGACGGCCAGUGAACGAUACAUCGAAUACGACAGGGCGGGCCGCGUAAUCAAGGGUGUGGAGGUGAAGGCCAAGAGUCGUUACGAGGAGGACGUGCUGAUCAACAACCACACGUGUGUGUGGGGAUCCUGGUGGCGCGAUGGCACCUGGGGCUACGCUUGCUGCCACUCCAGUGUGAAGAACAGCUACUGUACCGGAAAGGUGGGCGAAUGGGAAGCGAGGAGACUAGAGUGUGUGCGAGGCAGCCUGCGCUGUUGAAUAGGCGGGUACGAAUUGCAAAGCUCACUGGCUUGCAUGGGAUCCAUGCCAAGAAAGAAUAUAAGCUUGGUGCGUCCGAUGAGUGCCGUUCCGCCGUUCUCCACUCAGAGCUUAAACCACGUAAGAGGCUCUUAUGUUGGCGCCUCUGGUAACAUGCCUAGGGUGGUAUAGUACUUGAUGCUUGUCCGUGUCCAGCUAACCUUCCAGCGCCCGUUGGGCCGCGCGUCACCGCUAUGGACAGGCUGGUGAGAAAGCAGCAGCUCAAGUGGACGAGGCCAUGUUGGCCAACAUGGAGGCUGCCGCACGAGAGCGGGAGGCAGCGGAACUGAAGCGACGUCAAGAGUCAACACUGAAUAACUACGAGUACACGACAGAUGUUUGGGGAACGGACGGGCCGGUCCAGGAGCUGGACCCAAAGAAGGUGCGGACUGGGAUUUUGUAGGUCGGGAAAAUUGCGAACUUAUCAUCUGUAGCUCCGUCCGCGUCGUUGUCUUGUGGUCGGUACAAUUGGAAAAGGUUACCAGCUUAGAGCGGCGGGGUGCAUGGGUUGGCUGUUGGGAUUUUCCCACUUAACCGGCUGGCGGCCGGAGAUCAGGAACAGAAGGGGAUUAGGUGCAGGGCUCGGUACGGUUGUGACUCAGCAUGGAGAACGUUUCUUGUGCCACUAUGUAUGGCCGUGUGCCGAAAUACCUCAGCUCAUUACAGGCGGUGUUUGCGCGUCGUCCCACUGGCCCUGGACAUUCGGGUGCCUGACAUAGGACGUGCGGCCCUAGCUGCCGCGCUAGUCUAAUGUACUGCCUUCUCCGUAUGGCUUGAGUUUUGAGACCGUCGUGCUGCUAGACGAUUCCUUUUGUGGAAAGCGUGUGGAUGAGAGUUUGCAACUAUGGCCAUAGGGACUGGGCGAGCGGCGACGGUGGGGGGCAAAUUUUGUUGCACGCCACACGUCCUGUUAACUUGUCUCGAAUUUGCUGUAAUUGACACCAAUAAAGCUAUCUGCUUUGCCAUCCCUUCCAGGUUGAUGCUGCGAUGCGCAAGCUUGAGGAGCGCGAACGAGCGGCGAUGGAGGGUGACCGGUCGAAGCGGAAAUAUAACAGCCUUGAGGCGGGCGCCGGUGAGCACGUGACGCCAGAGGAGAUGGAGGCGUACCGCAUUAAGAAGGGGCGUGGCGACGACCCACUCGCGGUGCUGGCGCAAGCACAGAACGGGGGUGGUUCCGCCGCGGGGACGGGGACAGCUGGGUACGAGCUGCUGUGAAACAGUCGGUAUGUAGCCCAGGGGUUGUUAAAAGGUGUAAGUUACAGGUUGGGGUCAGGCGCCGUGGCGGAGAAAAGUUGAAUACUGGGCACUAUUGGGUCAUGGGUUAUGCAGGAGUUUAUGAAACGAGUGUACCUCAAGAAUGUUUGUGGCAGAGGGAAUCUGGUGUGACAGUCGAGUGAUAACUGUAGAACUAGCGGAAUAAUAUGGAUACUUUAGGGCUAGGUGUGCCAGGGUGGGGUGCGCCAUGAUGCAUGGCUGCCCAGCCUGAGACACUGUAGGGGUGCACGCCCUGACUCCUGUAUACUUUUACUGAUGUUGAAAUUCGUUUGGCGAUUACCUGAUUUGAUUGCUGAGAAUACAUCGUGAGGGCGAGUAGGCGACUGUAUCCAAACAACUCCAACAGGGACGGUUAGUAAGCAAAAUUAUAAAGGGGAUCAACAACCAAGUCGGACACGCACGGUUAGUCUGGGCCCAAAGCCGUACCUCGGAGGUUAUGCGCGUUUGUGUCGGCUGCCGGAUGGCUCUCGUAUUCGCCUAUAUCAAAUACAAUAUUAAUGUGGUCCUUUCGCCGUUGCCGUUGAACUGUGGCGUGUGGAAGGCUGCCAGGACGCGCGUACGCAUGAAAAUGCUAAAAUCAGCUCUGUAUAUAGCGCAUGUUGGCUCUGAACGCCAUCGCACACAGCAACCCUUACUACCUGUGUGGCAUGACACUCACCGGGUCGGGCUGGACAAAAGGGACACCUGGCACACGACGUACUAUAAGCUCUUACUUGGCAACGAUGGACAAGUGUUGUAUUUUGUUGUAAUAAUGUUUAUAGAGAAUACGUUUUGAGCCGGCCUUGCAGGUUUUUCCGUGAUACCUAACCGCUCUGCAUAAGCGCAUUGUAGCAUUUCAUCGUGUACAUUCUCCUUUCCGUGUGCUUUAAAAAGCUACCAAAGAGCUGUGUACUCCGUAAAAAGUGUGUCGCAGACAGGUACAGCUGGCCCAAUGCACGACAGCAGCUUCUCCCAUAGUUUGCCUGUUUACAGACUCUAUCGCUAACGCCAUAAAAGCUAAACGGCAUAGCAAAUUUAGGUAGGACUCACAAAUUGUUAACCUCGCUGCAGACUGGCAGUGAGCAAGGGUGGCCCCAGACGAUCCUUUUACUUGCGUCUGGGGCCGAACAACAGCAGCUCUCCAAUAUCCUGACUCAAUGUUGGCAAUACUUGUCGGCUCUCGCGGAUGAGCCAGGCCUUGCGAUGGGCGCUUACGGUGCUUUUAUGCGGGCGGACAGUUCGGGAAGAGUCCUCGAACAGAAGUGCUGAAGAGUUGAGCGUUGCAGGAGCAGCGCCUCUACCUGCGGUGCCCUUGUCGAGGCCUUCAGCAGUAAUGUUGAGCAAUCACCAACCUACGCCAGCUUCAUAUCCGCCCUCUGAGGAUCACGCUCUAAGUAUUGCUCUUGCUCAGAGUGUUGCGGACCAAGCAGCAUGGCAGGCAGCACGGGCCUCAGGUUCUCAAACGCACCAACUAGUCUUGAAAGGGAGCGCUGGCGAGGCUUUGCCAAAGAAGUUCUGGCAAGAUGGAAGGUUGGUAUGCCUCGAUGAUCAAGUGCCUGGCUCACAAUGUGGCCCUUGACGUGUCUAUCGUCUCAUUUGUGUACUUGGUUUAAUGCCUCCGCAGCUUGGCCUACUCUGAUGUAGUUACUGAUGGCUUUUACGAAAUAUAUGGCGACUUCCCCGAGGUCUGUGAAGGUCCGCACGAGUUUCCCUCUCUAGAAGUCCUGCGAAAAGUCCGCACUGGCUCCGGCGAUGUUCGUGAGGUAAGUCUGCACGAAAGCCUCCUUACUAAAUUGUCUCAGGACGCAAUUGAGUUUAUGGCGGGACUGGUACACAGCCUCGAAACGUUUUCCCACCUUUCCCCCAGGUGGUGCUGGUUCACCAUGAGCAAGACCAAGGACUCCUGCAAGCGGAGGAGAUGCUCUCGGAAGCGAUGGCCGAGGCGAACCCGCAGGAUGUGAUGGCCCGCAUCCGGGUAAGUGCGUUGGUGGUUAGCUGGGUGAUGUCACCCAUACCAUGUCGAGUUAUCCUACAUCCCUGUGACCCAUUACCUGCCUCUCAGGUUGUCGCGCAUGUCGUCUGCGACCGCUUCGGUGGCACUUAUGACCGCGAGGAGUCCCUGGAGAGGUUCUGGCAGGUGUCAAGCGCCAAUGUGAAGCGCCGGAACCGGUAAGCGGCGUUAGCUAUGUGCAAUACCUGCUGGUCUGCCCCUGCAAGAGGCCCCUGCGACACCACUUUAAACUAAUACUUUCCGGAGCGAUUUGGGGGCAGAAGCCAGGGUACUUCGGCCGGAUAUGUUACUGCAAUCCGCUGCGGAAUUACGUGUUGCAGAACAGAGCCACGCUAAUGGCCCAUGCGAACGCUGCUGAUUUUCGGCGCUGCAUCGGACCCGAUCUGAACUUUGCAGCAUCAUUUUUUCAAGCAAGCAUCACGUUACCAUACCCUCAUGGGAAAACUCACCACUAUGGCGCGUCAUGAACACAUCCCCUCGUACUUCCAGGUCGGCGGUGUUACUUUUGUGUCAACUGGACGUGGGAUCUUUGCGCCAUCGCGCCCUCCUUUUCAAGGUCCUUGCCGAUGCGGUGAAGCUGCCUUGCAAGGUCAUACGCGGCCAGGCGCUUUGUGGUGCGGACAGCGCAGCCAAUGCGAUCGUCAUGGUGGACGGCCGUGAACACAUUGUCGACCUGGUUUUCGACCCGGGGAAGCUCAUCUCACAAGAUCAGUUCGCUGCGAUGGUCCAGGAGCGCAGAUUGCGUAAGAUACGGCGCUUAGAUGGGUUUAAUUGGUUGGGGCCUCGGAGCUCUUGGGUUUUAAGUGGCGCUCGAUCGGUGCGGCUUUAGAUUCUGGGGCUAGGCGCUCGCGGCGCAGGCUGGGGUUGGAAGGUUGCAGAAUCGUGUCAACCUGACUAGUUAGUGAUGGGGCUAGAUGAAUUGAUGGUAGACCCAACCGACCCAGUUUCCCAGCAGGCUACAUUCUGGUUGGGCGUACUGAAUUAGAUGCAAGGUGCGCCCUUUCAAGCUCGUAUGCCAAGUUACUACACAUCCCCCCUACCCGCCACGGCCUUUUUGUGUUGUUCUGAAGACGCAGGGCUGGACGCCUGGCACCACCCGGCGCAUGAUACGACCAGCGCCGCCGCUGGCAACGCCUCGGCAGUGGAGGCUUCGGCAGCCAGCGCCAGCAGCGCCACUGGCGCGCCUCCGGCCGUGGGAACUGUGGGCUCUAUGAAGUCUACUGGCGUUAGCAGCAGCAGCAGUAGUGCACAGCUAGGUCCCGUCAGCAGCGGCGUUGCAUGCUCGGGUUCCGGCGGUCAAUCUGCUGUGUGUGGCACCAACAACCUUGGCGCAUCCCUGCCGGCUUUCGUGUCAGCAGCGGCAGAUGCGGCUCCGGUGCCUCACAGCAGUCCACGGGGAGCACCGUCCCGGACGCAGAUGCUGGUGCCGCCGGUGCCGAUGCCGGCACCGGCCGUGUAUAGCAGCUCCUUACCGGCUCCGGGCAUGGGUUUGCAUGUCCAGAGCGGCGCCUGGGUGCCAGGCCCUGCGCACGCGCAUGGCAGCGGUCCCGGGCCUGCGAUUGCAGGCAGCCGCGUAAGGUUUACGAUUACUGAUCUUCCGAAAACGGAAAACCCACAGCCGCAGGGCGGCCGUGGGGAUUCGCGUCAGGCGCCGCUGGCCGUGCCGCCCUUCCCAGCUCCGCCUCAUGGGGCGGCGGCUGCUGCUGGUGGCGCGCAAAUUGCAGCGCCACAUUCUGGCCGCCAUUCGUUGAGCUCCUUACCUGGGAAAGCAAAAUCUAUGUUGGACUUGGCGGUAACGGUACAACGAGGUGGGGAUUGCAUGCCGUCUGGUUCGGGGGCUGGAUGCGAUCUUAUCCGCCUGGAUUCAGAGCCGCUGCCCGACUCUCUGCACGACUCUGUACCGCCGCCGGAACGCUCUGGCACACCCACGGGAACCUCCGCGCCCGGACCACGAGGCCCCCCGGUUGUCCCGGGCCGCCGCCAAAACUCCUUCGACCAGAAUGGCUGGGUGAAAUUUUCCGGCAGUUUUACUCGGUCUAAGGAUGAUUCCCGGACGCACACUGGUGGACCGGGGCUGAGCCCUCUGAGCCAGUCGUCUGGGGGAUGCGCUGCUGGCGCACCGGCCGCGCAGCCCGGCAGCUUCAGCGGCUCGCAGACUGCGGGUGGCCUGCAACCAUUAGAGAUGGUAUCCAGCUUUCCUAUCCUGGGGCCAGCGGAGCCGUCGCCGGACGGCACAAAGCUGGACGACAGCGUCAGUUCGAGCAACGCGGCCCGAGCGAGUAGCGCUGGGAGUCUGGGUCAAAUGGGCAGUACCUCGGUUCCGCCUGUCGCACAGGGGGCCUCCAGAUACUCGACUGCAACAAACGCGUCGGCCUUCGCCAACUUUCAGCUGCCGUCGGACUUAUCAGCGACCGCCUGCAGUGACACCGGCUGCAGCGCCGGUGGCUCAGGGACAGCGGGCAGCGCCGGCGCUAGCGGCAGUCACCUCAGCGCGCGUAUCCCGCACGGUAGCAGCGAGGGAAGCCCGUCGAAAACCAUCAUCCCGCCGCAGCAGCGGUCUGGGCCGCAAGCCCUGGCCUCGCAACAGCAACAGCUGUCGAUACAAUCUGCACUGCCGCAGCCGCCGCAGCAACAGGCGCGGUCCUCCCUGGCGUUAGCGUCGCCAUUCCACGCGAUGCAGAUGGGCUUUGCAUCCCAUAUGCCGCCGGCGUCACUUGUGUCUGCCUUUGGGGCCGUGCCGCCAACCCCGCAGCCCGGGACAAUAACCCACGUCCAGCAGCCGACCCAGCAGCAACAACAGCAGCAAGCGGCACAACGGCCACCGCAGGUACUGGCGGGUGCAGGCAAUGCAGGCACCAGCACGACCGGUGCAAACCUACCGUUACCGCGCAUGGGGAGCCUCCCUCAUGCGGGUCAGCCUCAGGCGCCAUCGCAGCAGCAGCCGGCACACCAGCAGCAGCCAGCAGCCGGGAGUGCAGUCCGACAGUAUGUUGGCGUCAGCCAUGACUCGGCACAUAGGAUGUACGGACUCGGCAAUGGCGCCGCGGCCACCAUUGGCGGCACCGCCUAUUACGCGACGCCACCGAAAUCCGCGGACGGUAUUGGCAACGCGGGUAGCAAGGCUCCGUCGCCGGCGCUGUCGACUCCCUUCACAGCACCAACGGCCUCAUCUGCACAGUCCACACCACCGGGCUCAGCGCCCGGGCCUAGCGUCCCAUUCGCUGACCUAUCUCCCUUUAAUGUUGGGGAGGCCACAUCGGGCUGUGGCAGCGACCGCAAGGCUGAGAAGACUGAACGAGAGCGUGACCAGCGGGAACGGGAACAGCGAGACUGGGAAAGGGGUCGGGAGCGGGAUCGCGAACGUGAGCUUGAGCGCGACCGGGAACGGGACCGAGCACAGUCGUUCUUCGCCGACCUAUCUCCCUUUCGCGUCUCAUUGGGUCCUGGCGGUGAAACGCGAGAUGCGACGCCCGCUCGACAAAGCGCACCAGGCCCGAGCUCGCAACCUAUUGUGGAAACGCCCAGUAGCGACAACAGUAGGGAGACCACGCCCCGCGUCUCCAUCACCAACAUAACCGAUACAACAGGCGGCGUUGGCAGCGGCUGUGGUGGCGCGGACGGCGUGGCCCUGGACCUAUCGCGAAUACAGCUCGGGGGACAAGGCGGCGGCAGGCCAGACCCUUCUGGAGGCCGGCCAGGUACCGCGCAACAGCAACAGAUUCAGAUACAGCAGGGCUUUGGGUCAAUGCCGAUGAUGGGGCCUGCGGCGGUCGGCGGCCACCUUGGCCAGCAGCUUCCCCACCACGUGGCUAUGUCGUACUACGCUGCCGCUGCGAUGCAGGGCAACCCCUACAUGUACAUGCAGCCGUCUGCGGCUAUGGCCGCAGCAGCGGCUGCCAUGAUGCCUCAGGCGGCAGGCUUCAUGCAUGGUCCCGCCCCCGCCGGAGCGCCAGGCAUGCAGGGCUGGCGACAUGUGUUCAAUCCGGCAUGGGAAAGCAGCUGGACGGCAGCUCAGCAAUCGAGCCAGUAUAUGCUUCAGGCGGCAUACUUGCAUCAUCAGCAACGACAACAUCAGCAGGCUAUCUUGGCUGCCGCCGCAGGGAUGGCAGCGCAGCCGCAGCCGGGUGGAGCCUUGGCGCUGUCAGGCAUAGGGAUGCCCGUUGGCGGAUCCUCGACGGUUGCGGCGGCGAAUCUGCUUGAGUCCGGCACUGCCCUUGCUACACAGACAGGGGGCCCGGGUGCGAUCGCUGCACGGCCGCCAAUCGCCUCUGGCAGUCCGCAGCUGGCGCUACCUCCUAGCAUACAACCGCAAUUACCGCAGACGCAGCCGCCCAGAAUGCGACAGCAGCAACAACAGCAAAAGCCGCCGCAAGGGUCGCAAGGUGCAUUAGACCUUGCGCACGAGAUGACCGUGCCAUCGGCGCGCCGCAUGGAGAGGUCGCGCGUGUCCGGCGCCGGCGAUUCGGAUGCCACCGCUGAAGCUGGGCUGCCGUCGCCCCUCGGACAGCAGCCCUCGCUCUCGGCCUCCAUGCCCCUUCCGCCUUCGCACCGCGACCUGGAGAUCAACCCGGAGGACUUGACCUUCGGGCAGCGCAUCGGCAUGGGGUCCUUCGGCGAGGUCUACCGCGGCACAUGGCGAGGCACCAAUGUGGCCAUCAAGCACUUUCAUGACCAAAACCUCUCACCCGUCACCAUCCGGGAGUUCCGAGACGAGGUUCUUAUUAUGAGCAAGCUGCGCCACCCCAAUAUUGUGCUGUUCCUGGGCGCUGUGACGCAGAAGAACCAGCUGGCCAUUGUGACGCAGUAUAUGACACGUGGCUCUUUGUUUCGAAUGCUACACCGCAACAAGGAGGUGGUGCUGGACCCGCGCCGCCGCCUCAACAUGGCGCUGGAUAUUGCCAAAGGUGAGCGCGCCAUUGAGAGUGUGUGGGAGCAGGCAUGGGGGCAAGCUACGUUUUGAAGGACAAGGAGUGCGGAUAGGAUUUACGAGUAAGCCCGUUUACUCAAGCGUGGGCUUCGCCAUAUCAUAGCAUUGAUGUUGCCUUAUAUUUUGGAACCCGUUGUGCCGUUGCCGCUGCGUCGUAGGCAUGGAGUACCUACAUAACUGCAAGCCGGUGUUAGUUCAUCGCGACCUGAAGUCUCCUAACCUGCUGGUGGACAAGGACUGGACCGUCAAGGUUUGCGAUUUUGGCCUGUCGCGGUUCAAGAACAAUACCUACCUAACGGCCGCGACGCAGAACGGGUGAGCCACGGUAACGGUACGACAAUACCGGUUCUCAAUCCCGAUGCCAUGCAGGGGUAUGGCAGGUGACCUGGACUUUUGCUUAUACGCAGAUCGCCUGCCUGGAUGGCCCCAGAGACCCUCAAGGGAGAGCCUUGCGAUGAGAAGAGCGACGUGAGUGACGGGCUUGGGCCUGCUUGUUCAGAUUUAGGGGCUGUUUAGUAUCCAAUACACCUGCGGCAUCUGCUUAUGGUUGCAUUUGCGCCCAGGAGCGAGUGGCUCUGUGCUUAUGCCUCUUUACGGUUCGAUGGGCAGCUGCGGCGCCCCGACCCAUUGUCCCCUGUUUGGGACCAAGUACAUGGCUACUGCUGCGUCCACGCAUGCUUCCUUUCUCAGGUAUUUAGCUUCGGCGUCAUCCUCUAUGAACUGGUGACUGGAAAGGAACCAUGGGAGGAGCUGAACCCAAUGCAGGUGAGUGGCCGGGCUCUUAGGGUAGAAGGUGAUUUUGGUAAGGUCUUGGGGGGCAUGCAUCAAGCAUGUGUCUCGGGCUGGGGUUAUGGGGUCGAUAACAGCAGAUGCUUCGCAAAUUGAUAGUCUCCACACGAGACUUGAACUCUUGGACAAGCCUUGCAUCCUUCACCUUGUACGGCAUUCCCUACCUCAAUCCUUGAUGUUUGCCUGCGUCUUUUAUGUAAAAUAAAAGUGCCUCCUGGUUUCCUAAGGCAGAUUCUGCUUCCAGGUCUGUGGAAUGCGUCUGUUCUGCGUAUUCCUCUGCAGGUGGUUGGCGUGGUGGGUUUUUCCGGGAGGCGUAUGGAUCUGCCGACCGACCUGGAUCCGGCGGUAACGAACCUCAUCCAGAGCUGCUGGGCCACAAACCCAAAGGAGCGCCCGUCGUUUACUCAAAUCUUAGCAACCAUGAAUACGUGGAGUGAGCUGCGGCCCACAGCGGCAGUCCUAGAGGCACAGCGGGCGAAGGCGCCCCAGAGGAAUGCAGCUCAAUAGCCGCUCAUAACACGAAACGCACAAUACGAGUCCCGAAGUAAGCGUCAGGCCGGCUGUUGAUCGGACAUUGCAUUUUCAGCUGCUUUGCUUUGCUUGAUUUUGACUUCCUUCUCUUCUCUCGAUGUUUUGGUAGCCUGAAGGUGAUAUGAGUUGAGCAGCUAGGAUGCUUGUUGGUUGUCUAAGGUGCGGCAUGGUGGCAUCUCCAAAGCCCAUCCAUCUGCAACGUGUCACAGGCAGGACGCAAGAGGCGUGGGCAGGUUUUCACGUUGCUCUCCAGCUUCGUCGGCAACUGUCAGGGCAGUCUAUGUUCAAGUUUUGCGUGAACAACGCGUUCCUUACGUACAUAUCCGAGGCGGUGUGUUGCGCUUCGUGUCAGCUAUAGAGCAGGACGCCAUGUGGGUAUUGUGGACUGGCCGUCAUAGGAGUGCACGCUUUUGCAAGAAUUCCUUGGUCGCUGGAUGCGUGCGGUGAUUUGGGUUUUAAGGUUAAGACCGCAGUGAGUUGCAGCCUCGCGUCGUGUUUGUGCAUCAACCUGGCGAGGGGUGGUGAACGGCUUGGAGGACGCUGUGAUGAACCGGUCCAUGCCUAAUGUGAUGGACAGGUCCAUUUGAAUCUGUUGGCGCUUUAUUACCUUGAUACUGAUCUUUUUGAGACAGUAAUGUGACAGGGUAUUGCCUGGCACAUUCGACCCCAUGAACGCUAAGCUGGGGAAAUCCUAGUGUAGAUAGUGAGAUGUCACGGCGCUUGCAGCUACACCCCCACUGCCAUUAGAAGGGUACGCGGCGAAAUGAUAUCCUGACGGGUGGUGUCGAGGUCAGCCCGUGCAAACACGAGGUGCUAUCGACGUUCCGAGGAGCUGGGCUGGAUUCGGACUUUCCGUUUCCUGUUGAUCGUACACAGCAGAAGAAUGCGAGUUGCGAUAUGCACGUUAGCUAUCCGAUAUUCUUUCACCUAGGUGCCAUGGGUUUAUCUCAAUAUACUG
rnacentral:lncRNA from 1 species